AUUGAACGCUGGCGAGAGGGAGUACACAGGCAAGUCGAACGGCAGCACGGGUGCUUGCACCUGGUGGCGAGUGGCGAACGGGUGAGUAAUACAUCGGAACAUGUCCUGUAGUGGGGGAUAGCCCGGCGAAAGCCGGAUUAAUACCGCAUACGAUCUACGGAUGAAAGCGGGGGCCCUUCGGGCCUCGCGCUAUAGGGUUGGCCGAUGGCUGAUUAGCUAGUUGGUGGGGUAAAGGCCUACCAAGGCGACGCUCAGUAGCUGGUCUGAGAGGACGACCAGUCACACUGGGACUGAGACACGGCCCAGACUCCUACGGGAGGCAGCAGUGGGGAAUUUUGGACAAUGGGCGAAAGCCUGAUCCAGCAAUGCCGCGUGUGUGAAGAAGGCCUUCGGGUUGUAAAGCACUUUUGUCCGGAAAGAAAUCCUUGGCCCUAAUACGGUCGGGGGAUGACGGUACCGGAAGAAUAAGCACCGGCUCCCUACGUC
rnacentral:rRNA from 1 species